GCGUGUAGCUAACCGGUACUAAUGAACCGUGAAGGCUUAACCUUACAACGCCGAAG
rnacentral:rRNA from 1 species